rnacentral:lncRNA from 1 species
CCAUUUUAUCAUUUAAUUGGUAGAAUUUUGGCCACAAAUUGAGGUGGUUCUUGCAGCUGAAAUUUUCUAUAAAUAGAUGUUGCCUCAAAGAGAAACAAGUUCCAUGAGAAGAAGAAAAAUAGAGUGUGGAGAUGAGAAAAAAGGGAGAGAUUAGAGAGUUUGUUAAACUCCAUUGUAUGAUUCUAUUCAAGUAAGAAAUAUAAUAGUUUUUUUUUUUUUUUUUUUUUUUGGUGAUAGGAGAAUCACAACAAAUUAUAGAUGCUGAAGAAGAAGGAAUAAGUGAUGAUGUGAAUGUAAGCAAGGAAGAACUGAUCAAGAAGUUUGAAGAAUUUAUAAGAAAAUGAAAGCUGAAAUUAGGAUUGGAGCCCAAUUGCAACAAAUAUAGCUGUGUAAUUACCACAGAUUACAAGUGUAUUGUACGCGCCUGUUUGUGUAUUUGGUGAAUCGAACAAAUCUUAUGUUUUCUUUGUAAUUAGAUUUCCACCUCUCUCUCUUUGGUGAC